CAUUUGCUUGUGUUCUAGGUCUUCUCGCAUCCAUGAUAGCUUCAACGAUGGUGAGCCAGAGCUACAUUUGGGCCUAUGCAUCGUUCCAAUUUGCACUUGUGAUCCUCUUUGCUCAUGUUUUCUAUAGUGUGCUAGGAGUAAGCCCUGUGUUCUCCAUUUUACUUUCCUCAUUUACUGGGGUUGGUAUUUUAAUCA